rnacentral:rRNA from 1 species
GAUGAACGCUGGCGGCGUGCCUAAUACAUGCAAGUCGAGCGAACAGACGAGGAGCUUGCUCCUCUGACGUUAGCGGCGGACGGGUGAGUAACACGUGGAUAACCUACCUAUAAGACUGGGAUAACUGCGGGAAACCGGAGCUAAUACCGGAUAAUAUAUUGAACCGCAUGGUUCAAUAGUGAAAGACGGUUUUGCUGUCACUUAUAGAUGGAUCCGCGCCGCAUUAGCUAGUUGGUAAGGUAACGGCUUACCAAGGCGACGAUGCGUAGCCGACCUGAGAGGGUGAUCGGCCACACUGGAACUGAGACACGGUCCAGACUCCUACGGGAGGCAGCAGUAGGGAAUCUUCCGCAAUGGGCGAAAGCCUGACGGAGCAACGCCGCGUGAGUGAUGAAGGUCUUCGGAUCGUAAAACUCUGUUAUUAGGGAAGAACAAAUGUGUAAGUAACUAUGCACGUCUUGACGGUACCUAAUCAGAAAGCCACGGCUAACUACGUG